rnacentral:rRNA from 1 species
AGUGGCGAACGGGUGAGUAACGCAUCGGAACGUGCCCAGUAGUGGGGGAUAACCAGUCGAAAGAUUGGCUAAUACCGCAUACGACCUACGGGUGAAAGCGGGGGAUCGCAAGACCUCGCGCUACUGGAGCGGCCGAUGUCUGAUUAGCUAGUUGGUGGGGUAAAGGCUCACCAAGGCGACGAUCAGUAGCUGGUCUGAAAGGACGACCAGCCACACUGGGACUGAGACACGGCCCAAACUCCUACGGGAGGCAGCAGUGGGGAAUUUUGGACAAUGGGCGAAAGCCUGAUCCAGCCAUGCCGCGUGCGGGAAGAAGGCCUUCGGGUUGUAAACCGCUUUUGGCAGGAACGAAACGGUGCCGACAAAUACUCGGCGCUAAUGACGGUACCUGCAGAAUAAGCACCGGCUAACUACGUGCCAGCAGCCGCGGUAAUACGUAGGGUGCAAGCGUUAAUCGGAAUUACUGGGCGUAAAGCGUGCGCAGGCGGCUAUGCAAGACAGGUGUGAAAUCCCCGGGCUCAACCUGGGAACUGCAUUUGUGACUGCAUGGCUAGAGUUUGUCAGAGGGGGGUGGAAUUCCACGUGUAGCAGUGAAAUGCGUAGAGAUGUGGAGGAACACCGAUGGCGAAGGCAGCCCCCUGGGACCUGACUGACGCUCAUGCACGAAAGCGUGAGGAGCAAACAGGAUUAGAUACCCUGG